GUGGGGAAUCUUGCGCAAUGGGCGAAAGCCUGACGCAGCCAUGCCGCGUGAAUGAUGAAGGUCUUAGGAUUGUAAAAUUCUUUCACCGGGGACGAUAAUGACGGUACCCGGAGAAGAAGCCCCGGCUAACUUCGUGCCAGCAGCCGCGGUAAUACGAAGGGGGCUAGCGUUGCUCGGAAUUACUGGGCGUAAAGGGCGCGUAGGCGGAUCGUUAAGUCAGGGGUGAAAUCCCAGAGCUCAACUCUGGAACUGCCCUUGAUACUGGCGAUCUUGAGUGUGAGAGAGGUAUGUGGAACUCCGAGUGUAGAGGUGAAAUUCGUAGAUAUUCGGAAGAACACCAGUGGCGAAGGCGACAUACUGGCUCAUUACUGACGCUGAGGCGCGAAAGCGUGGGGAGCAAACAGGAUUAGAUACCCGAGUAGUCC
rnacentral:rRNA from 1 species